CAGGGGCACUCCCGUCCGCUCCUCUGGGUCAACUGUUCACCCAGAGGGCAGCCCUGUGCCCAGGACUCAGGGACUGGGUGAAUCUGCCCCUGUAGGUGACAGGAAAUUGCAGACGAGCCCGCAAGCCUGUUCCGGAGCCUGAGCAAAGAGGAACAGUUGUGUUUAAAGAAAGACUCGGCCUGUCGGAGGGGCGGUGCUCAGCUUGGGAAUGAGGAAUGUGAAGAGCCCGCCUGCGGCUCGUGUGGGGAGGGUGCUCUUGGAGACGGGGCCUCCAGCACCUCUUCCCCAGGGAACACAGAGGCACUUGCUCAUCUCUUGGCAGGCUCAGGGCCCACAGCUGAGAUCAGGGCUGUGCAGACCCGGACACAAGCCUGUGAGGACAACACAGCCCCACUGCGACCCCCAUCAGCUGGGCGGACAUCAGAAGACAGUAAUGCAGCUCCCCGCGAUGCGGCCUGCCCGUGAGGAUCACCACCCACCCCUGGAUGUCCACAGUCAUUGUCCUGCCCGCCCUGGACACUGCCUGCUUUGCAUUGCGAUCAUGACACCCAAGAUGUGGCUCCCACAAAGUCCCAUGGGAUUUGUCCUUGAUUCAUUCCUGAGCUUUUCCCACCGUGGGGUUUGGGGGAGCAUCUGCUGGUGAAGCCAGGAAGCAGGGAGACGACGGAGGAACAGUGGAACAAGAAGAGGGAAGCUUGGGCCUGGAGGGUGUGUGGGCCUUCAUCUCAGCCCCAGAGUGCAUCUUGUGGGUCGUGGAGGGCGUUGGGGUCCUGUUUGGGUUUAAGUAGACCAAUCACCAGGCACCCGCCUGUUUAUAUUCCAAUGCGCGGUGCAUUCACUCAGACCUCGGCCAGGCUCCUGGUGGCCACUGGGAGCAGCACUCCUGGCUCCAGUGGGCCUUCCAGACCCCAGGGCUGAGCAGUGACCCCCUGUGCCUUCCAGAGCCCUGACUCUUCUGUGC
ensembl:lincRNA